rnacentral:sRNA from 1 species
UUUAAAUUAAGGUAUAUUUUUUUCAGACCCCUGCGGCUAUGGUGACAAUGGUAAACGCCUGGCUAUUCGAGACUUCUGCGCUGGUUACUUUGAGUGCCAGAACGGUGAGGCUCGUUACUACGAUUGUGACGAGUACGAAGGCUUUGACAUCUACAACAAGAAAUGUGUCCCAGACAAAUCUUGCGCUACAGUUUGCCCCAAAGGCACUGGCCCAAGCUACAACAGUAUCUACCAAUUCUAUCUCGGUGGAGAGCUCGAGUACUGCCCCUACGGCACUUACUUCAACGCCAGAAUCUGUACUUGUGACC